rnacentral:lncRNA from 1 species
GAUCCGCCGCCGGCGCCGCUGCUGGACACGAGCGAGCUGAAGAAGUGGUCCCUGUACCGCGCGCUCAUCGCCGAGUUCAUGGCCACCCUCAUCUUCCUCUACGUGAGCAUCGCCACCGUCAUCGGGUACAAGAACCAGUCCAAGGCCGAAUCGUGCACCGGCGUCGGCGCCCUCGGCAUCGCCUGGUCCUUCGGCGCCACCAUCUUCAUCCUCGUCUACUGCACCGGCGGCAUCUCAGGUAUAAUAUGCAUACAUGCAUGCCAUACAUACACGUGGUCUAGCUAGCUAUAUAUGAAAUGAAACGAAGAAGAAGAAGAAGACGAAUUGAUUGAUUGAUGAGCGGCAAGCAUAUAGUUAAUUAUCAUACGUACACAGGCGGGCACAUCAACCCGGCGGUGACGUUCGGUCUGUUCGUGGGGCGGAAGCUGUCGCUGGUGCGCACGCUGCUGUACAUCGUGGCGCAGUGCCUGGGCGCCAUCUGCGGCGUGGGCAUCGUCAAGGGGAUCAUGAAGGUGCCCUACAACUCCCUCGGCGGCGGCGCCAACGCGGUGGCCACGGGCCCCUCCGACGGGGUGCUCACGGGUUACUCCGUCGGCAGCGCCCUGGCCGCCGAGAUCGUCGGCACCUUCAUCCUCGUGUACACCGUCUUCUCCGCCACCGACCCCAAGCGCACGGCGCGCGACUCCUUCAUCCCCGUACGUACGGCGACCGCCUCUCGCGCGCGCGCGGCUCCCCUGGACCGACCUCCACGCACGCCUGCUUUCCCCUGCUACAA